rnacentral:sRNA from 1 species
GCUGGGUACGGUGGUGCAUACCUGUAAUCCCAGCAGCUCAGGAGUGUGAGGCAGGAGGAUCAUGAGUUCAAAGUCAGCCUCAGCAAAGGCAAAGCACUGGGCAAAUCAGUGAGACCCUGUCUCUG